AAAAAUCUUUAAUUUUCUAAUUACUAAUCAAGACAUAUUCCUAACCAUUUCAAAAAAUUAAACUAAAUGGAUUUCUAUUUAAGCUAGUUAAACUGAUCGUCAUGAAAAUCCUAAGUAUCCUAAUAACCAAAACUCUAAUCACUAACUAAAUAUCCUAAAAUUGCCUAAGCAAAGAUACAAUAACCUGAAAUAACCAAAGGAAAGGCCCAAGAGAAUGAGAGUGGGCCUGGUGGAUCAAGACUGUGCAGGCCCACAGAGGGAGGGUGCAGAAAGAGAAAUUUGGGCAAUGCAGAAAGGAGGAGGUAUGGAAAGCUUUGGGCCUCGGGCCCAACCCGCACCCAGGUUCGAAUGGCCUGAAUCGGUCUUCUUACUCCAUACAUGGCCAAAGUUCACGAACUUGAUGCCACAACUCACCAGCGCCGAACAUGGUGUCGCUCAGAAUCAUGGAUUCUUCUUCAUCAAUUAGGAAAUUUGUGACGGGAAGAAUGGAGAAUAUGACUUCGACUUCAAUUUCUGUUCCAGAUGUCAGCGUCCAAUGUUCACGAUCCAAUCUCUUCACGCAUACGGAAACAGAGAAAAAGAAAGAGAACACGACUUCGACUUCAACUUCCGUUCCCUAAAUAUCCACCCAACAUUCACGAUCCAACAUCUUCACCCACACGAAAACGGAGAAAAAGAAAAAGAACACGGCUUUGACUUCAACUUCCGUUCCCUAAAUCUCCGCCCAACAUUCACAAUCCAACAUCUUUACGCACAUGGAAGUAAUAUCGAAAAGAAUAAGAAACUCACCGAAUCGACGUUCCAUCCCAAAGUGGUAUUAAAAUCUUUCUAAUCCCUUAUGAUUUCAACUUAUAAUUCCUCUCGAAUUCUCUUGCUAUUGUUGUGAAAUGGAUUCCGUGGCGAUUAUUGAAUUGUCGUGAAGAUAGAUGAAGGAUUGAUUUACGCGACGAUUUCCCUCUUUCUAUUUUGGAUGAAUGAUCUGUUACCAAUGCGGGUGAUUGAAUAAAUUCCAGAUCGAAAGUGUUUGGGAGAUUCUGAUUUUGUUCAGAGAUAAGUGAUGAAGGCUCCGCAGAAAAAAAAGUAAGAGAUGAUGAACGAUCGAAGGUGAGUCAACACGACAGUGAAGAUGAAUUUUCGAACGGCAGUACUAGCUUGCCGUCGACAACGGAAAGAUUCACAGAACAAAACUCCAAACUCGAUUCAAUUCUUUGGAACAUCGAAUCGUCGUCCCGACGCGAGCAGGUAGCAAAUCAUCUUUGCUUCUAACUUCUUCUUUCUGUUUUGGACACUCAUGAUCCUUCUUCGUCUUACCGUUGUUGAUCUAUGAUUUGGUGAGGUUGUGAGGCUUGGGUUUCAAGGUUACAAGCACUUGGGAGAUUCUGCUCAAAGAAUGAAGGAAGCUCUCCAUUGGUUGAGGGUGAGCAUCAUGGAUAUGGUGGAAGAGGAUUGAAGAAAAAGAUGGAAGAAGAUUUGAAGAAUUGAAUGAAGAGGUUGAAUUGGAGAAGAAUUGGAAUCUGCAGGCAAAAAAAAUCCUCUGGAAAUCACAAUGAGGUUAUCUUUUAUAGUGUGUGAAUGCUUUGAGGAUGUACUAGCUUGAAUGCCUCUGUUAUGAGCUAAUUGAUGCAGGUCCUGUUAAAUAUUGAUUCAAAGUUAGAUUAAAUAUUGUUUAUGUGACAAACUGUUGAAAAGAUUAGUUAGCAAUUAUUGUAGUUAGCUAAGUACAAUUUGUUAAGACUUUAUUGAAGUUCUGUUAGCAGUGUGUAAGACCCCAAUUUUAACCCUAAGAUCCCUCAUGAUAUCUCAUCAUAUGCAUUGGCAUUGAGAUCAUACCUUGACACCCUCCUUACCCCUUACUCAUUGGGUUUGUUUUGGGAGAGAUCACCAAGUAUCAUGUGAUUGUAUCAUACUUAUUAUUUUAUCAUUUACUAACCAAAAUACAAAAAAUAUGUGCAUUUGUGUAACCUUUUUGUAGGUGAGGCACAUGAUCACCUUUGAUCUAUCAAGUUCACAUUUAGGGUUUAAGACCCUCAUUGCUAAGAGCUUAACCAAGGAAUGAUCCACAAAGGCUCUAGGAAUCAUAUAUGAGUCCCCAUGAUCUUUACGUGUAAUUUUGAUAAAGAAUUCUUCAAGAGUUUGGAAUUGGUUUGCCUUGGAAACCCUAGUUCAUCUGGGUAUCUUGUGUAACUUCUUCAACAAGCUUCUUCACCAAUUGAUCAAAUAUUUCAAGGGGCAUAUCAAAUUUCAUCAUCUUAUGCAUAUAUGAUCUCCCGAGAAUCCAAAGAGUCAAUAGAAUUGCAAGCUAGCAAGUUGGUUAAUGGAGGUUGACCAGAGGAAUUCAUCUUAUCAAAACUAGGGUCCCCUAGACCCUAUCUCUUACACUUUUCAUCAUAUGUAAAUUAUUCCAAAAGAAACGUUACUCUAAAUGACAUUCCAAACAACUUUCAUGUUGAGGUCUAGAGCUAGUUUUGCUUGGAAAGUCAUUUUUUAUGUUGAAAGAUUAUAGGUCAUUUUGUCUAAACCCUAAUUUGAAAGUCAACUUCCCAAGGCCAUAACUUGCUCAAUUUUUAUGAGAUGAAAGAUUUCCAAGUUGCACAAUCAAA